CCUACGGGAGGCAGCCGUGGGGAAUAUUGGGCAAUGGGCGCAAGCCUGACCCAGCAACGCCGCGUGAAGGAAGAAGGCUUUCGGGUUGUAAACUUCUUUUCUCAGGGACGAAGCAAGUGACGGUACCUGAGGAAUAAGCCACGGCUAACUACGUGCCAGCAGCCGCGGUAAUACGUAGGUGGCAAGCGUUAUCCGGAUUUACUGGGUGUAAAGGGCGUGUAGGCGGGAAAGCAAGUCAGAUGUGAAAACCAUGGGCUCAACCUGUGGCCUGCAUUUGAAACUGUUUUUCUUGAGUACUGGGGAGGCAGACGGAAUUCCUAGUGUAGCGGUGAAAGGCGUAGAUAUUAGGAGGAACACCAGUGGCGAAGGCGGUCUGCUGGACAGCAACUGACGCUGAGGCGCGAAAGCGUGGGGAGCAAACAGGAUUAGAGACCCGAGUAGUC
rnacentral:rRNA from 1 species